rnacentral:rRNA from 1 species
UACCUACCCUUGACAUGUACGGAAUCUUGCUGAAAGGUGGGAGUGCUCGAAAGAGAGCCGUAACACAGGUGCUGCAUGGCUGUCGUCAGCUCGUGUCGUGAGAUGUUGGGUUAAGUCCCGCAACGAGCGCAACCCUUGUCCUUAGUUGCUACGCAAGAGCACUCUAAGGAGACUGCCGGUGACAAACCGGAGGAAGGUGGGGAUGACGUCAAGUCCUCAUGGCCCUUAUGGGUAGGGCUUCACACGUCAUACAAUGGUCGGUACAGAGGGCUGCCAAACCGCGAGGUGGAGCUAACCCCAGAAAACCGAUCGUAGUCCGGAUCGCAGUCUGCAACUCGACUGCGUGAAGCUGGAAUCGCUAGUAAUCGCGGAUC